AGCGGCGGACGGGUGAGUAACGCGUGGGCAACCUGCCUUGCACAGGGGGAUAACACAGGGAAACUUGUGCUAAUACCGCAUAACAUCACGGGGAGGCAUCUUCCUGUGAUCAAAGGAGAAAUCCGGUGCAAGAUGGGCCCGCGUCCGAUUAGCUAGUUGGCGGUGUAACGGACCACCAAGGCGACGAUCGGUAGCCGAACUGAGAGGUUGAUCGGCCACAUUGGGACUGAGACACGGCCCAGACUCCUACGGGAGGCAGCAGUGGGGAAUAUUGCGCAAUGGAGGAAACUCUGACGCAGCAACGCCGCGUGAAGGAUGAAGGUCUUCGGAUUGUAAACUUCUUUGAUGAGGGACGAAGGAAGUGACGGUACCUCAAAAACAAGCCACGGCUAACUACGUGCCAGCAGCCGCGGUAAUACGUAGGUGGCGAGCGUUGUCCGGAAUUACUGGGUGUAAAGGGCGCGUAGGCGGGGAUGUAAGUCAGAUGUGAAAUUCCGGGGCUUAACCCCGGCGCUGCAUCUGAAACUAUGUUUCUUGAGUGCUGGAGAGGAAAGCGGAAUU
rnacentral:rRNA from 1 species